UUCAUUACAAUGGAACUAUAGCUCGGAUCAGAUUAUCCGAUAAUUAGAAAACACAUGAAUAAAACACUGCUAUCGAAUAAUUCAAAUAAAUUAAAUUUUAAAUUACUGUCAAAUAAUUCGAUAGUUCCCAUAGCUAUUUUGUAAAAUCGGCUAUUUAUUUGGAUGAGCUUAAAUAUAAAUGUCAACAUAACCUUAAUAUCUGAUUCACAUAUUAUAAAUAAGUUGUUUACAGUAUGUAUUGUUUUAUACAUACUAUGUAUCUUCUUUCCAAGUAUGUAAUACAUUUUUUUUAAUGCACUUAGCACUUUUACGKGCRAUUAUUAAUAAUGCUGAUAGUCUUAAAAMUAAAAAUUCCAAUUAUUACAUAGGUACUGAURAAUAUACGACAAAGUGAAACRAAACUGAGAAAUCACAAGCAAAAGUUGAUUGGGAUUUUUGGUGCAGUUUCCAAUAAACCAUCGAWCUUUUUUUUWAAUUCUCAGUGGAUUCAACAACGAUUAGAUUAUAUACAUAUUCAAUAGAAUGUUUAGAUCCAACUUCUUUAUCUAUCACGCAGCUGUUCAACGAUAUUGUAUGGAUUUAUAAUGAUAAAUAAUGGCCAACUCAGUUACGUUCACCAUUCAACAGAUUGAAAGAUUCAGCAAUCGUAUUGAAAAUUGCCUCACUGACCAAACUUGUCGGUCGAUUUUCGAAAAAUAUUUGAAAAUUCAGAAAAAUCCUAUGUGGUUGAAUGCUUUCAAGCUAUGGCAAACAGUUAAUUGCACCAAUACCUGGAACGAAGCUGAGAUGCUUUACCUAAUUGAAGAAGUUGAUGAUUUUAGAAAUAAUCCAUUGCUUACCAUCGCAGAGUGUCAACAUAAACUAGACUAUACCAAAGAAGAGUGUUGUAGAAUAUUAGAGAAAUCUUUAAAGGGAUUUUCUAAUUAUUUAAAUAGGUAUCAUAAAGUAGGUGGUUUCUGUUAAGAGAAGCAUCGAUGGAGAUUACAUUACUACCAACUCGUGUGAUACAUCACCAUAUAUUAGUUUCAUUUCGGCAAUUGAAAAUGUAGCUCAUUUGUCAAUUUAAAAAUUCUUUUAUCAUCAAUACACUUGGGAAUCAUUGGACUAUAAAGGGUUUAUCCGUUGUUACUAGAUUUAUUUAUGUUCUUCCACUUAGUAUGAAAUACUAGACGUCCAGUGAUUUUUUGUAAUAUUAUGUAAUAUAGAUAUUAUUUGUUUAAA